UACGGAGGGUGCAAGCGUUGUCCGGAAUCACUGGGCGUAAAGGGCGCGUAGGCGGCUCAUGAAGGCUGUGGUGAAAGUCCGGGGCUCAACCUCGGAUCGGCCGUGGCGACUCGUGGGCUGGAGCACUGUAGAGGCGAGUGGAAUUCCUGGUGUAGCGGUGAAAUGCGCAGAUAUCAGGAGGAACACCAAUGGCGAAGGCAGCUCGCUGGGACGGUACUGACGCUGAGACGCGAAAGCGUGGGGAGCAAACAGG
rnacentral:rRNA from 1 species